UUUUUUCACAAGUAGCUUUAACUGUUUUGGUGACAUUCUUCAAAGAUUGUACUUCCAAGAACAUGAAGUCAAUAGACUUCUUCAUAGCCUCGAUGUUAACAGUAUUCUUGCUGAUCAUAGCCUCCAGAUUAUCUGAGCGCUCAUUAAUGAAAGUAGCAAUGUUGUUUUGCACAUCAGCAAGAGUUAUAUCACUGUCUUUGUGUUUUUUACCAUCGGAUCUGGCUGGUGUAUCGGGGUCCGAAUCCGGCAGUGGCAUCAGUUCAGCACUUUUGCUGCGGUUGUAGUCAUGUUCGGCAGCCACGGCAUUCUUGGGGGUGGUUUUUGAGCCAGCUACACCUGUAUUUCUCUCCAUUUCCUUAGUUGCUCCUUUCGAUAGACUUUUAAAUUUCAUGGGUGUUUCUUUUCCCUUCCUUUUACUACCCUGAGUUGUUGGAAACAUCGCGGAGGUGGCGGAGCUUUCCUACUGUUAGCUGAGCUAUCGCUUUGCAAGGAAGCUAGGGUCACGAAAAAGUUCUUUUAAGUAUGGUUCAGGAAGCCGUUACUUAGAAGUACAGCAUAAGUGUACUGAAGAAACAGUCAGUAGGAUAACUCACUUGUAAUUCAGAGAAAAACGACGGCUGGAAGGCCCAUGUUUUCCAGCUCCAGCUUUCUGAUAUCCGCUUGCAUGGCGCUGAUCACCUGGAUGAUUCUCCUUUUGCUGUCCAUGGUGCUGACCGCAGUCUUUUCCACCCUGUCUGCUUCUCUCAUGAAGGUACUCAGCCCACCUAUAGACACAUGUUCUAUUCCCACAUAUAUGCUUUCAUUUAAGGCUCAUUACACAGCUCUCCUUUGGGUCAACAAUGAUAUAAGCAGCCAAUCAGCAGCAGCAAUCUAGUCUGUCAUCGGACUGUUGGUGGUGGGGUCACCUGGGGUGAGUGCUAUUUUCUUCUUAGUGAUCUGAUGCCUACCACUUUCCCUCCUCCUGUUAAAUAUUCAUCUGCUCUGUCAAUGUAAAGGAACAAUUGGUGC
ensembl:lncRNA